rnacentral:lncRNA from 1 species
AUUGCUGAGCAGCCCAGAACAAAAUGCUCCUGCUCUUUCAUGGGGGAAAGGGGGCAUGGAGAGAGAGGGAGAAAAAGUAUCUUCUCAAGGAGGCCUCCAAAUGGAGAUGACCUGGCUGGGAAUGCAGGUAUGAUUGUGAGCAUGGCUGGCCUGGGGUGGAAACUGACUCCUUCAUUGUAACCAGUUUUCACUGGGAAUUUGUAGAAUCCCACCAAUUUGAAGAGAAAUGGUGUCUUGGCAAUAUUGAGAAUAUUGAAUCUUCUGAUUCAUGAACUGGCAUAUCUCUUCAUUUGUUUAGGUUUUUAAAGAUUUCUCUUAGCAAUGUUUUAUAGUUUUUGAUGUAUAGGACUAACACACCUUUAGUCAGAAUUAUCCCUAAAUAUUUAAUUUUGGAGGAUGCUAUUUUUUUCCCCUUUUUAAUGGCUGCACCUGCAGCAUAUGGAAGUUCCAGCCUAGGGGUCAUAUCAGAGCUACAACUGACAGUCUACAUCACAGCCACAGUAAUGCCAGAUCUGAGCUGCAUCUGUGAACUACACUGCAGCUUGCAGGUAAAUCUAUUGAACCUGCAUCCUCAUGGACAGUAUGUCAGGUUCUUAACCCACCGAGCCACAAUGGGAAAUCUGGGAUGCUACUGUAAAUGGUACUUUUAGAAUUCCAAUUUCCUUUUUUCUCUAAUAUAUAGAAAUACAAUAGUUUUUUUUUUUUUUUUUGGUCUUUUUAGGGCCACACCCAUGGCAUAUCGAGGUUCCCAGGUUGGGGGUCGAAUUGGAGCCGUAACUGUCUGCCUACACCUCAGCCACAGCACCACAGGAUCCAAGCCGUGUUUAUCACCUACACCACAGCUCACAGCAACACUGGAUCUUUAACCCACUGCUGAGGCCAGGGAUCGAAGCUGCAUCCUCAUGGAUACUAGUCAGAUUGGUUCCCCCUGAGCCACGACUGAAACUCCUACAACAGAUUUUUGUAUAUAGAUCUGGUAUCCUGUAAUGUUGCUAAACCAACAUAUUCUAGCAGCUUUUCUGUAGACUUCAUAAUAUUAAACUAUGUGGCAUUGGUUUAACGGGCGGGCGGCAGACAAUAAGGACACAGAUAUUACAUACUGGAAAGCUGGCAAACAGUUUUAUGCUGCUACUAAACAUUUGAUAAAAUUGUUAACUCAGGGAUUUCCCCUGUGGCUCAGUGGGUUAAGGAUCCAGCGUUGUCAGUUCAGUGGCUUGGGUCAUUGCUGUGGCAGGGGUUCCAUCCUUGGCCUCAGAACUUUUGCAUGCUAUGGGUACAACCAAAAACAAAACAAAAAAAUCUGAAUCAUCAACUCAAUAAUUCAGAAGGCAGACCACAUGCUCUUUGAAUCUGUUGCUGUUGGGAAAAUGAUCAGAAAGAUGAUUCUCUGACCUAUGAGAGAGUAUUGUUUCCCUCCUCCUUUAGCAAAAUCUUCUAUGAAAGAUGAACUGAGGUAAAAGAUAGCCUUUUUAUUUAUUUAUUUUUUGUUAACAGAGAUGGAAGGAAUAAAGCUCUGCUGAGAUUGGAGUUCUCUGCCUGCAGUCGGCAAUGCAAAUUGACUGAGAGUGGUUAUUCAGGGCCUUCUAGUUUUGAUAAAGCCAAAACCUAUUAUACUCCCAAGAGCAGGAGAUAAAACUGUGGCCCAAGGCCCUUCUCAAGGGCCAUUAGCAAUGUGUUGUCUGCUGGACGUUGGAAGCCAGGCAGGCAGUGAGAUCAUUAAAGGGAUUGCCUUCCCAACCAAACCUGCUGUUCUGGCUGGCCGCAAGGGCAUUGCUAUUAAGUUGUUAAUUUUUUUUAAUAUUUUAUUUAUUUUUGUUAUUUGAAAUUUUUUUGGCUACGCCCAUGACAUGUGGAAGCUCCCAGGUCAGGGAUCAAACCUGUGCCACAGCACUGACGCAAGCUGCAGUGACAGCACCAGAUCCUUAAUGUGCUGCAUCACAAAGGAACUCCUACUACUAGGUCAAUAGACAAAGAAUAAAUAGGGCAAACACAGAGCUUUGUAAGUAAACAGAGUAGUUAUGCAUUAGAAAUAUGACUAGUUGAAAUCUAUAGCUGUGGGUAAUUGUACAAGGAAUUGUAAAAGGGACAGAUACACCAGAAAUCUAUUCAGUAUCUUUUAUUUUUUUAUUUUAAUGAUUUUUAUUUUUUCCAUUGUAGGUGGUUUAGAGUGUUCUGUCAAUUUUCUACUCUACAGCAAAGUGACCUAGGUGUGUGCGAGUGCUAUCUCUCUCUCUCUCUCUCUCUCACACACACACACACAUUCUUUUUCUCAUGUUAUCCUUUCAUCAUGUUCCAUCACAAGAGGAUAUAGAUAUAGUUUCCAGUGCUAUACAGUAGAAUCUCAUUGCUUAUCCACUCCAAAUGCAAUAGUUUGCAUCUAUUAACCCCAGAUUCCCAGUCCAUCCCACUUCCUCCCCGUCCCCCCUGGCAACCACAAGUCUCUUCUCCAAGUCCAUGAGUUUCUUUUCUGUGGAAAGGUUCAUUUGUGCCAUAUAUUAGAUUCCAGAUAUAAGUGACAUCAUAUGGUAUUUGUCUUUCUCUUUCUGACUAGUAUGUCUUUCUCUUUCACUUAGUAUGAGAGUCUCUAGUUCCAUCCAUGUUGCUGCAAAUGACAUUAUUUUGUUCUUUUUAAUGGCUGAGUAGUAUACCAUAUCUUAAUCGAUUCAUCUGUCGAUGGAUGUUUAGGUUGUUUCCAUGUUUUGACUAUUGUAAAUAGUGCCUCAGUGAACAUAUGGGUUCGUGUAUCUUUUUAAGGAAAAUUUUGUCCAGAUAUAUGCCCAGGAGUGGGAUUUCUGGGUCAUGUGGUAGUUCUAUAUUUAGUUUUCUGAGGUACCUCCAUAAUGUUUUCCAUAGUGUUUGUACUUCAGUAUCUUUAAAAUGGAAUUGACAGAGAGUUCUCAUUGUGGCUCAGCAGGUUAUGAACCCGACUAGUAUCCAUGAAGAUGUGGGUUUGAUCCCUAGCCUUGCUCAGUGGGUUGAGGAUCUGGCAUUGUUGUGGCUGUGGUGUAGGUUGCAGAUGCAGCUCUGGCAUAUGGAAGUUCCUAGCCUGGGAACUUCCAUAUGCUGCAGGUGUGAUUGUAUGAAGAAGAAGAAAAAAAAAAAAAAAAAAAAGAAAGAAAGAAAGAAAGAAAGAAAAGAAAGGAACUGACAGAGAAGCUACCCAUUUAGUUUGCCAAUAACUGUGUAUACUUGACCUGAAGUAACUCAUAGUCCCUCAAAAGUGCACCAGUAAGAAACUGGACAUAAAAAGAUGUGCAGCUUCCCAGGAGUUUAUACUCUUCAAUAUACCCUUCAGAUAUAAUUAUGGAGAAUCAUGGCUAAGAACCUCCGAGCGGGUAAAGCCAGUACCUGCAGGUGCAAGAAACAAGGUGUUCCUUCUAGUAAGCACAACUGAAGCCCAACCAAGAAUUUACUCCACCAUCGGGGCAAUCUUUGAAAUUUCCCUUUUGCAACAUUUGAUUAGACUGUGGACUAUUCUUCCCGCCACCUUUUUUUUUUUUUUUUCCAAAUUGAUUUUCCUAUUCCUACUUCAUCACUGUAUACUAGGUAUGUGGGGAACGAAGUGGGAGAAGAGAACAGUCAUCUCAUUUUUAAGUUUAUAGAUCACUGGAUCAUGAGGAGUUAUAGCUAGACUUGUAAAGGACCACACAUCAUCUUCAGAUUGUGGACUUUAAACUGGAUGCAGUACUGCUUGGGACUCUGGCUUCUUGCCUUUUAAAAUAGGGUGUGUUCUAUAUGUUAGAAGAAGGAAGUGUAUAGAUAGAUAGACAGAUAGAUAGAUAGACAGACAGACAGGCAAAUUUGGGUAGCCAGACUAGUGGACUAUAAUAGAAUUGUCCACCAAAGUACAUCCUUAUCUUCUUCCUUUAUUAUUUGAACUGUCAAGUGUUAGCUGGAUCCACAGUUGCCUAGUUAGAGAACAUCUCCCACCUUCCUGACAGUCGGAUGUGGCCGUGUCUCUAUCAGGUCAAUGGAAUGAAUAGAAAUGACGUAUGCUACCUCUGGGACCCACUCCUAGGAGUACUGACAUGUGCACCCCUUUCCUUUCUGCUAGGCUAAGAUACAGAUGUGAUGGCAGGUUCUGGGAUAGCAGUUAUGUAUGAGGACAGUGCUGCCCUCUGGGUCCUAGACCACCUACCUCUUAGCAUAUGAGAGGAAAAAACCCCCCAAACUAUCUCGUUUCACAUGCAGUAUCUUUGGGAUACAGCAACCUAAUCUGUAUUCCAACAAAAGCUACUUUUGGAAUAGAGCAUUAAGUAUUCUUUCCUCCAAGGGGCAAGGUAGAGCCAUUCUUCCCCGCACCCCUAACCUGGGGCAUGUGGAAGUUCCCAGGCCAGGGACUGAACCUGCACCACAGCAAUGACGGUGACCACAGCAGUGACAAUGCCAGGUCCUUAACCUGCUGAGCCAUAAGGAAACUCUGGCAAAGCCAUUCUUGAACACAUGGAAAAGAAACUUUUGCUAUUCUAAGUCAAGGUUUUGACCCAAUUAAACCAAAUACAUAAUCACUGAACACUUAAUUUGAGCCAAUUCAGUGUGAGCUGUUACAGAAGAAAGGUCCUACUCUGAGCUGAACUACCUAUUUCUAGAUUGUUACAUAAGAAGAAAUAAACUUCUAUUUUGU